rnacentral:rRNA from 1 species
AUACGGAGGGUGCAAGCGUUACUCGGAAUCACUGGGCGUAAAGCGCGCGCAGGCGGCUUGAUAAGUUGGAUGUGAAAGCCUACGGCUCAACCGUAGAACUGCAUCCAAAACUGUCAGGCUAGAGUGUGGGAGAGGAAGAUGGAAUUAGUUGUGUAGGGGUAAAAUCCGUAGAGAUAACUAGGAAUACCAAAAGCGAAGGCGAUCUUCUGGAACAGUACUGACGCUGAGGCGCGAAAGCGUGGGGAGCAAACAGGAUUAGAAACCCCGGUAGUCC